rnacentral:rRNA from 1 species
GACGAACGCUGGCGGCGUGCUUAACACAUGCAAGUCGAACGGAAAGGCCCUGCUUUUGUGGGGUGCUCGAGUGGCGAACGGGUGAGUAACACGUGAGUAACCUGCCCCUGACUUUGGGAUAACUUCAGGAAACUGGGGCUAAUACCGGAUAGGAGCUCCUGCUGCAUGGUGGGGGUUGGAAAGUUUCGGCGGUUGGGGAUAGACUCGCGGCUUAUCAGCUUGUUGGUGGGGUAGUGGCUUACCAAGGCUUUGACGGGUAGCCGGCCUGAGAGGGUGACCGGCCACAUUGGGACUGAGAGACGGCCCAGACUCGUACGGGAGGCAGCAGUGGGGAAUAUUGCAGAAUGGGCGGAAGCCUGAUGCAGCAACGCCGCGUGCGGGAUGACGGCCUUCGGGUUGUAAACCGCUUUCGCAUGUGACGAGGCGUGAGUGACGGUAAUGGGUAAAGAAGCACCGGCUAACUACGUG